rnacentral:misc_RNA from 1 species
GGAAGUAAAAGUCGUAACAAGGUUUCCUAGGUGAACCUGCGGAAGGAUCAUCAUUACCACUAAAAACUUUCCACGUGAACUGUCUUACUUAGUUUUGCGUUGCUGCAGGAUGUUCUAUGCACUUCUUGUGUAGAGAGUAUUCUGCGACUGCUGAACGAAGGUUGGUGAAGUCUUGUCUCUGCGUGCUUGAUUGCAUGCGGGACGUGUACGUCGCCGGCUGACUUAUUUUUUCAACCCAUUACUUUAACAACUGAACUAUACUGUGAGAACGAAAGUUCUCGCUUUGAACUAGAUAACAACUUUCAGCAGUGGAUGUCUAGGCUCGCACAUCGAUGAAGAACGCUGCGAACUGCGAUACGUAAUGCGAAUUGCAGAAUUCAGUGAGUCAUCGAAAUUUUGAACGCAUAUUGCACUUCCGGGUUAUGCCUGGAAGUAUGUCUGUAUCAGUGUCCGUAAAUCAACCUUGCCUUUCUUUUCCUGUGUAGUCAGGGAAGGAGAUGGCUGAUGUGAAGUGUCUCGCGUGCGUCGGUUUUUGGUGAAACAAAAGCACGACGGUCGAGUCCUUUGAAAACGACACGAUCUUUCUUAUGAGUUUGCGACGUGUGUUGGUCGAACGCGGUGAUUUUCGGAUCGCUUGUGGUCGUCGGCGACUUCGGUGAAUACAUUAUGGAGGAAACCUUGCUUCGCGGUACGUUAGGCUUCGGCUGGACAAUGUUGCGUAUGUGAGUGUGACUUCCGUGUUCGCCUUGAGGUGUACUGACGGUUGUGAGCUUGAUGAGUUGAUUGUUGUGUAGUAGACUGGUACAUAGUUUGUGACUUCGUCUGCAAGUGACGCUUUCGGGUGUUGUUUGUGGGAGAAUGAUUGAUUUGGGAAAUGUUGUGUUUGUUUACCUUGUGGUAAAUAAGCAUCUCAAUUGGACCUGAUAUCAGACAAGACUACCCGCUGAACUUAAGCAUAUCAAUAAGCGGAGGA